AAGAAAUCAAGAUAUUUUUGCUUGCUUAGUUUUUCCGGUCAAUUUUUUCAUCUCACUUCAAUUUAUUUUCUCAACCUUAUAAAACUUGUGGGUGGAAGAUGGCAGCUCUUUUAUUUGUUUUGGCUCAGUUUGGAAGCUUCAUACCGAUUAGAAACUAUGCAAAUUGGGUUGCUACAGCUGUUCUUCAAAACUAUAAGGACAAUACAAGAUUGCAUCUAAUAUAUGCUAAUUUUCCACAUGAGGACAUUCUUUUGAGUUUCUUCACAGUUUAGUAUCUUCCUCCACAGGGAGAUAUUCCAAAAAGAUGGCUUAUAACCUCGAAGGACAUUCAAAAGGGAUGUUUUUCCCAGUGAAGUAUGUCCGUAGGCCUUUUUGUGGAAGCAAGUUGAAUAAUGAGAGUAAGAUAAACAUUGGACUAUGUUGCAAAUACAUGUGUCAUAAUUUUUUGGAUUCUUAAUUGGAUGUAUUUAGUAAGACGUGUUGAUACGUUAUCAAUAUAAAUAUUUGAUCAGAUUAAUAUUAAGAAACAAA